rnacentral:lncRNA from 1 species
UAUGGGGGUUGAGGGAUGACAAUUUAGCUAAGGAAUAUAAGCUACUCUCCAUUCUCUAACUAGCUCGACUCUCCUCAGAAUUGAGGCAAAGGUAUAUUCUUACCUGCGCCAUGUAAACAAAAUUGAGAGAUGGGGAGCGAAAACGAGACAUAAGCUAUAGAUUCCAAGACCAUAGCCCAUUUUCCAAGACUAUCCCUGAUUUCUUAGUGCAAAAAAUCCCUUGUUUACUUCACAUAACAUUAAUUUGUUCUCCCCAAUACAGAAAUUUUUUCUUGAUAGAGUCUUGUCACUCUGCUGUGGUUGAAAGCUUAACUUAUGUCUAAUCCAAGCCAAGGUCAAAGGUUGGUGUGAGAUAAAAAUUAGUUGCAUACGCUGUUUCAUAACAUUAACGUGCAGAGAAGAAAUCUUACGAAUCCAGACUUGUUAUAGCACAAUGUUCAUCGUUAACUGCUAUGACUUUUUUGGACAAUCACUCCUUGAAUACAAAGAUCAAACCAAUUGUGCAGCAAUGACAAAUGAUUUUCAGAACCCUCAAGUUAUACUCCAAAAGUUGGUGCAUGAAAGUCUGCCCUGGUCAUCUUGGAACUCUGCCACCAACAUUGAUGAAGACAAAUUAAAACCAUUUGUGCACAAAAAUAAUUCAACCAAAUGAAGAACCUGGGGUUUCUAGCAUUAUCAUAAAGACUAACAUUAUGCAGUCCAAGCUCUUUCGGUGUCCCUCACAUCUCCAGAUACCGGAUAUGCAUUCCUUACAAGUUGAUUCAUCUCAAUUAGCACUCGAAUAGAAUAAAAACCGCUGUUCGCACUCAAAACUUGUCAGAAUUUGGAACAAAUGCAAUAUCGGACCCUCCUAAUGAGGGAACAACUUAAAGCGGUUAAAAAAAAGUCAAUGAAGCGGGUGGUUUGUGACUUUCCAAAAAUUUCCAUAAUCCGACAAAUCAACCCAACGAUCUCUUAUAUUGUUUCGUUAGAUAUUGUGAUGCAAACCAUGUCG